rnacentral:rRNA from 1 species
UCGCAAGACCAAAGUGGGGGACCUUCGGGCCUCACACCAUCGGAUGUGCCCAGAUGGGAUUAGCUAGUUGGUGGGGUAAUGGCUCACCAAGGCGACGAUCCCUAGCUGGUCUGAUAGGAUGACCAGCCACACUGGAACUGAGACACGGUCCAGACUCCUACGGGAGGCAGCAGUGGGGAAUAUUGCACAAUGGGCGCAAGCCUGAUGCAGCCAUGCCGCGUGUAUGAAGAAGGCCUUCGGGUUGUAAAGUACUUUCAGCGAGGAGGAAGGCAUUAAGGUUAAUAACCUUAGUGAUUGACGUUACUCGCAGAAGAAGCACCGGCUAACUCCGUGCCAGCAGCCGCGGUAAUACGGAGGGUGCAAGCGUUAAUCGGAAUUACUGGGCGUAAAGCGCACGCAGGCGGUUUGUUAAGUCAGAUGUGAAAUCCCCGGGCUCAACCUGGGAACUGCAUUUGAAACUGGCAGCUUGAGUCUCGUAGAGGGGGGUAGAAUUCCAGGUGUAUC